CCGGGGGUAGAGCACUGUUUCGGCUAGGGGGCCAUCCCGGCUUACCAACCCGAUGCAAACUGCGAAUACCGGAGAAUGUUAUCACGGGAGACACACGGCGGGUGCUAACGUCCGUCGUGAAGAGGGAAACAACCCAGACCGCCAGCUAAGGUCCCAAAGUCAUGGUUAAGUGGGAAACGAUGUGGGAAGGCCCAGACAGCCAGGAUGUUGGCUUAGAAGCAGCCAUCAUUUAAAGAAAGCGUAAUAGCUCACUGGUCGAGUCGGCCUGCGCGGAAGAUGUAACGGGGCUAAACCAUGCACCGAAGCUGCGGCAGCGACGCUGAUGCGUUGUUGGGUAGGGGAGCGUUCUGUAAGCCUGUGAAGGUGGCCUGUGAGGGUUGCUGGAGGUAUCAGAAGUGCGAAUGCUGACAUAAGUAACGAUAAAGCGGGUGAAAAGCCCGCUCGCCGGAAGACCAAGGGUUCCUGUCCAACGUUAAUCGGGGCAGGGUGAGUCGACCCCUAAGGCGAGGCCGAAAGGCGUAGUCGAUGGGAAACGGGUUAAUAUUCCCGUACUUGGUGUUACUGCGAAGGGGGGACGGAGAAGGCUAUGUUGGCCGGGCGACGGUUGUCCCGGUUUAAGCGUGUAGGUGUGUGUUCCAGGUAAAUCCGGUUCACUUUAACACUGAGGCGUGACGACGAGGCACUACGGUGCUGAAGCAACAAAUGCCCUGCUUCCAGGAAAAGCCUCUAAGCAUCAGGUAACAUCAAAUCGUACCCCAAACCGACACAGGUGGUCAGGUAGAGAAUACCAAGGCGCUUGAGAGAACUCGGGUGAAGGAACUAGGCAAAAUGGUGCCGUAACUUCGGGAGAAGGCACGCUGACACGUAGGUGAAGUGAUUUACUCACGGAGCUGAAGUCAGUCGAAGAUACCAGCUGGCUGCAACUGUUUAUUAAAAACACAGCACUGUGCAAACACGAAAGUGGACGUAUACGGUGUGACGCCUGCCCGGUGCCGGAAGGUUAAUUGAUGGGGUCAGCGCAAGCGAAGCUCCUGAUCGAAGCCCCGGUAAACGGCGGCCGUAACUAUAACGGUCCUAAGGUAGCGAAAUUCCUUGUCGGGUAAGUUCCGACCUGCACGAAUGGCGUAAUGAUGGCCAGGCUGUCUCCACCCGAGACUCAGUGAAAUUGAACUCGCUGUGAAGAUGCAGUGUACCCGCGGCAAGACGGAAAGACCCCGUGAACCUUUACUAUAGCUUGACACUGAACAUUGAGCCUUGAUGUGUAG
rnacentral:rRNA from 1 species